UUCCAGGAAGUGUUAGUCUGUUAUUGAGGAUGUACACUUUAUUAUCGGGUCUCUACAAAUAUAUGUUUCAAAAGGACGAGUAUUGCGUCCUGAUCCUCGGUCUGGACAAUGCUGGAAAAACGACUUUUCUGGAACAAACAAAAACAAAAUUCAGCAGAAACUACAAGGGCAUGAACCUUUCGAAGAUCACAACUACAGUCGGCCUGAACAUCGGCACCAUUGAUGUGGGAAAAGCUCGUCUGAUGUUUUGGGAUCUUGGAGGACAAGAAGAGCUGCAGUCAUUGUGGGAUAAGUACUAUGCAGAAUCUCAUGGUGUCAUUUAUGUCAUCGACUCCACCGAUGAGGAGCGACUGGGCGAAUCGAAGAACGCUUUCGAGAAGAUGAUCAGCAGUGAAGUUUUGGAAGGAGUUCCUCUUCUUGUGCUGGCGAACAAACAGGACAUAGAGAACUGUCUGUCUGUGUCCGACAUUAAAACGGCUUUCAGUGACUGCGCUCCCAAAAUCGGUAAAAGAGACUGUCUGGUGCAGCCCUGCAGUGCUCUAUCAGGAUUUAAACCUUUGUAAUAAUAAUGCUGACAGAAUUGAGAAUUUUACUUCUGCAAAUAAGUUCAGCUCAAAGCUCUGCUUCAGCGAUUCAUUCGUGUCACGACUCUGAAGUCAUCGCAGAGGCAGGGCGUGAAUGACGGCAUUGAAUGGAUGGUCAAAUGUGUGAUCCGGAACAUUCACCGGCCACCCAGACAGA